AGCCUUCUGUAUCCGUGCUGAGAUUUCGUCAGCGAUCAACCCGUUGGGGGCUAAUGAGACUUCCCAGAUAAAUGAAGUG
rnacentral:pre_miRNA from 1 species